rnacentral:tRNA from 1 species
CCUCUCAUGGCGUAGUGGUUAACGCGCCCCAAGUAGAGAUCGGGGAGUCGUGAGUUCGAUUUCUCACUGAGAAGA